ACUCACCAAGCUGAAAACAUGAGGGGUCUAAUUGCUCUUCUCCUGGUGGCUCUGUGCCUCGAGGGCCUCAAUGCAGCGUGUCCUGAUCAUGCCACACUGAAAGACGACUAUGGCAGCAAACUCUGUGCCCAGAUGUUUGAGCACAGCAGCUACUACUAUGACGAGAGCUGCACUGGCAGUUUUCUGUAUGUGUAUCCUGAUGAAGACACCCCCAUCAUGCCAUGGGUCUGGGAGAACCGAAUUUCCUCUCUGCUGGUGGGACGUGGCUGCUCGCUGACGGUGUGGUCCAAAUCCAAGAAGAAGGGAGACAAGAAGAAGUUUUCUGCUGGAGCUGCCUACCACCUGAAGGAGUAUAAGAGAGGCCUGUUCGGAAACUGGAAUGACGCCAUCUCUGGAUACUACUGCACAUGCUAGACCUGAAGACAGAGACUCAAAAGACAUUAAUGUAUAAGGUCAAUAAUGUAGAAGAUCAGCUUUAACCUUGUGUUUUUGGAAAUAAUUUUAAAUUCAGCUUAAUGUAAUUCUGCUUAAUGACUGAAUAAAAUAUCACAGGUGAAGCGAAAUUAUUCCAUACCUGGUGCAUGAUUAUUUUUAACUGCAUUAAAUGCAUUGAAUAAAUCUUAUUUUAAAAGUA